rnacentral:rRNA from 1 species
CGUAACAAGGUUUCCGUAGGUGAACCUGCGGAAGGAUCAUUACCUAGAGUUUGUGGACUUCGGUCUGCUACCUCUUACCCAUGUCUUUUGAGUACCUUCGUUUCCUCGGCGGGUCCGCCCGCCGGUUGGACAACAUUCAAACCCUUUGCAGUUGCAAUCAGCGUCUGAAAAAACUUAUUAGUUACAACUUUCAACAACGGAUCUCUUGGUUCUGGCAUCGAUGAAGAACGCAGCGAAAUGCGAUAAGUAGUGUGAAUUGCAGAAUUCAGUGAAUCAUCGAAUCUUUGAACGCACAUUGCGCCCCUUGGUAUUCCAUGGGGCAUGCCUGUUCGAGCGUCAUUUGUACCUUCAAGCUCUGCUUGGUGUUGGGUGUUUUGUCUCGCCUCCGCGCGCAGACUCGCCUUAAAACAAUUGGCAGCCGGCGUAUUGAUUUCGGAGCGCAGUACAUCUCGCGCUUUGCACUCAUAACGACGACGUCCAAAAGUACAUUUUUACACUCUUGACCUCGGAUCAGGUAGGGAUACCCGCUGAACUUAAGCAUAUCA